rnacentral:rRNA from 1 species
UACGUAGGGUGCGAGCGUUAAUCGGAAUUACUGGGCGUAAAGUGUGCGCAGGCGGCCGCGCAAGUCGGGUGUGAAAGCCCCGGGCUUAACUUGGGAAUUGCGCUCGAAACUACGUGGCUGGAGUGUGGCAGAGGAAGGUGGAAUUCCACGUGUAGCGGUGAAAUGCGUAGAGAUGUGGAGGAACACCAAUGGCGAAGGCAGCCUUCUGGGCCAACACUGACGCUCAUGCACGAAAGCGUGGGGAGCAAACAGG